UUCAGCUCAGAGGAAUUAGGUGCAAUUUUAAGAAAAAGGGCUUUCCCCUGAAACAUAAAGCUGUAAUAAGAUUUGCUUUUUCUUGUCUUUUUGGGUUUUUUUUUUUUUUUUUUUGGUUGCUGUCAGUUAUUACAACCAGAUUUUUGGAAGAGUUGAUGGGCUUGAUGAACUAUGAAAAAACAGAAAUUAUUCUUCUGGUUUUGACUACAGAGCUGAGGUGAAGACCAGUCAGCAAACCGUCUCUGCAAGAUUUCACUGCCACAGCACAGCUGCCAGACUUGGAAUUAAGAAUAAGCCUCUGGGCAGCUCUCUGGGCUCAGCUGUCCAGCCAGAUUUUUACCCACCAAAUAGAGCCCCUGUCCAAGCCAUGGACAGCCAGAUUCUCCAGGAGGAUGCUGUGGGAAAUGGUGUUAAACUCUUUACUGAAGUCCAGAUGAACACAUCUACAGCCUUUCCUCAUCCUCCAG